rnacentral:lncRNA from 1 species
AAAAUCACCUCGAUCUGAGGCUGAGGGACCAGUGCAAGGUCACAGGGAUUGUGCUUAGAGAUCAGCCCUGCACUUCAGUCAGACAUGUGAAUACCUGUGAGAAAAAUUAAAACUUCAGUGGUUGAAAACUGGUCCCAGAAUUUACUUUUUUUUCAGGUUAACAAUUUUCUAUCUCACUUACACUACUCAGCAGCCUUCUCCUUGUACUUUCAGCCACAGGGUUUGGCUCCUGUAACAUACCAAGGCCUUUACCUUCAUAGCAGUGACACCUCAAUCAACUGUGCUUUGUCUGACUCCAGUUGGUUUCCUCGCAGCCCAAGCUCAGCGUGAAGACUCCUCCUCCUUCCAGCCAGGGGGAAGAUGUGCAGAUUCCCACAAAGCUGGUGCUGUGUGAGUUCCUGUAACCAAAUGGAACAGAUGAGAGUUAGAAACACAUUGACCAGAAUUCCAAGGAGACCACGUUUGAACCAGGGGAUACAGAUUUCGACUUGUUACAGUCACCACUAGAGGCACAGGAGUUACCCGGCUUGUAUCAGCAGGGCCUGCUGAGAAGGGGACCCUGCUGUGCCAAAGACUGUGCAGAGAGACAGAGGAUUUCUGUUCCCAAGAGCUUAUAAUUAGCAACAUUCACACAUACAUUGAGCAGAACACCAGUCCUCUCAGCCACAGACAUCAGAGAACUCCAAAAAAUGGUGUGGAGUGUGUCUAUCAGAGUCCAAAGUCUUUGGCUUACCUGGAGUAAACAAGUGCCCACAACAGGGUGGUUAUUGCCCAAAGCAAUACUUCCCAAACCAGUGCAGAUUGUAGGAGCAUCCAGUUGUUGCUGCGUGCUCAGUGCUGGGAUCUCUGCUCCAGAAAUAUCUGGGAAAAGGUGAGAAGAUUGUACUUUAUCUCAUAAGAGUGAAACCAUCACUAAGAACAAAUAGUCUUAAACUGCAAAUCCAACUAUUCUCCACAGCACAAUGAGCUGUUAAAGGUCAGGCUGGCUCUUUACAGCUUGGGCCCAAUUAUGCAUUACAAACAAGCAAGAGGAUAACAUGCUUUUAUCCUGAGUAAGGUACCGGUUAGAUCAAGAUCAUAGCAGAGAGCUGUGACAGCUUUGAAGGGCUGCCUGUAAGUCAUCUGCUGCUGGAGGUGACUCAGAGAGUGUGUCCCCAGAGAAGGCUCAAGUUGCAGUUUAAAGCAGUGAUUUUCAACACUAAACAGGAGAUACGUGACAGAUCAGAGUCCAAACCAAGCUCUGCCUUUAUAUUGGGCUCUGCUGGCAGCUGAUGUGGGGAAGGGGAGAUUCAGGGUGGUGGGGAGAAGAAGGUGAAGAGAUGAAAUGCUCUGUGUGAUCAGUUGGGAGUGAAAAAUGAUAAAAACCUCUUUUUUUCUUUUUCCCCAAGGUCUGUUCUUGUCUUGCUCUGUGGCCUCAGGCAGGUUAGUUGUACAUCUCUCCAUACAA